AUGCUUGCUUCAGCAGCAUAUAUACUAAAAUUAGAACAAUACAGAGAUUAGCAUGCCCCCCAGCACUAGGAUGACAUGCGAAUUUGUGAAGUGCUCCAUAUAAUA